UUCUUUAGCGCAAUGGAUAGCGCGUUGGAUCUAUAAUUCAAAGAUCGAGGGUUUGAAUCCACUCAUUUCUGAGAAU